rnacentral:rRNA from 1 species
CCUACGGUGUGCAGCAGUAGGGAAUAUUGGGCAAUGGGCGCAACCCUGACCCAGCAACGCCGCGUGAAGGAUGAAGGCUUUCGGGUUGUACACUUCUUUUCUCAGGGACGAUGCUAGCGACGUUACCCGAGUAAUCAGCCACUGCGAACUACGUGCCAGCAGCCGUGGUAAUACGUAGGUGGCAAGCGUUAUUCGGAAUUACUGGGAGUAAAGGGCGUGUAGGCGGGAUAGCAAGUCAGAUGUGAAAUCCAGGAGCUUAACCAGAGACCUGCAUUUGAAACUGUUUGUCUUGAGUACUGGAGAGGCAGGCGGAAGUCCUGGUGUAGGGGUGAAAUGCGUAGAUAUUAAGAGGAAUA